rnacentral:rRNA from 1 species
AUUGAACGCUGGCGGCAGGCUUAACACAUGCAAGUCGAACGAGCGGCGGACGGGUGAGUAAUGUCUGGGAAACUGCCUGAUGGAGGGGGAUCACUACUGGAAACGGUCUCUAAUACCGCAUACCAUCAGAUGUGCCCAGAUGGGAUUGGCUAGUAGGUGGGGUAAUGGCUCACAUAGGCGACGAUCCCUAGCUGGUCUGAGAGGAUGACCGGCCACACUGGAACUGAGACACGGUCCAGAGUCCUACGGGAGGCAGCAGUGGGGAAGAUGGGCCAAUGGGCGCAAGCCUGAGGCAGCCAUGCCGCGGGUAUGAAGAAGGCCUUCGGGUUUUAAAGUACUUUAAGCGGGGAGGCGUUACCCGAAGAAGAAGCAACGGCUAACUCCGUGCCAGCAGCCGCGGUAAUAC